UGGGGAAUUUUGGACAAUGGGCGAAAGCCUGAUCCAGCAAUGCCGCGUGUGUGAAGAAGGCCUUCGGGUUGUAAAGCACUUUUGUCCGGAAAGAAAAUCCUUGGCUCUAAUACAGUCGGGGGAUGACGGUACCGGAAGAAUAAGCACCGGCUAACUACGUGCCAGCAGCCGCGGUAAUACGUAGGGUGCAAGCGUUAAUCGGAAUUACUGGGCGUAAAGCGUGCGCAGGCGGUUUGCUAAGACCGAUGUGAAAUCCCCGGGCUCAACCUGGGAACUGCAUGGUGACUGGCAGGCUAGAGUAUGGCAGAGGGGGGUAGAAUUCCACGUGUAGCAGUGAAAUGCGUAGAGAUGUGGAGGAAUACCGAUGGCGAAGGCAGCCCCCUGGGCCAAUACUGACGCUCAUGCACGAAAAGCGUGGGGGAGCAAAACAGGAUUAGAUACCCCUGGUAGUCCACGCCCUAAAACGAUGUCAACUAGUUGUUGGGGGAUU
rnacentral:rRNA from 1 species